UUUUUCCUACGGGGCGCAGCAGUGAGGAAUAUUGGUCAAUGGCCGAAGGGCUGAACCAGCCACGCCGCGUGAAGGAAUAAGGCCCUACGGGUCGUAAACUUCUUUAGUCAGGGAACAAAGGGUGCCACGUGUGGCGCUGUGAGUGUACCUGAAGAAUAAGCAUCGGCUAACUCCGUGCCAGCAGCCGCGGUAAUACGGAGGAUGCGAGCGUUAUCCGGAUUUAUUGGGUUUAAAGGGUGCGUAGGCGGUUUGUCAAGUCAGCGGUAAACAUUCCGGGCUCAACCCGGUCCCGCCGUUGAAACUGG
rnacentral:rRNA from 1 species